rnacentral:rRNA from 1 species
CGGAGGUGCAAGCGUUAUCCGGAUUCACUGGGUUUAAAGGGUGCGUAGGAGGGCAGGAAAGUCAGUGGUGAAAUCUCCGGGCUUAACUCGGAAACUGCCGUUGAUACUACUUGUCUUGAAUACCGUGGAGGUGAGCGGAAUAUGUCAUGUAGCGGUGAAAUGCUUAGAUAUGACAUAGAACACCAAUUGCGAAGGCAGCUCACUACACGAGCAUUGACUCUGAGGCACGAAAGCGUGGGAUCAAACAGGAUU